AGCAGUGUGGCUCAGUGGAAAGAGCACGGGCUUGGGAGUCAGAGAACAUGGGUUCUAAUCCUGGCUCUGCCA
rfam:Ornithorhynchus anatinus chromosome 7, whole genome shotgun sequence.